AUUCGACGUACGCGAGAGCUGCAGUGGACAAACGCGAUUGGUGCCGAUGAGGACGCUGGUGAUUCUGCAAUACAUAGACGAAGCGGUUGAGAGGAGCCGAGCUGAAACUCUGCCACCUGUUUAGUAAAACUGUCCACUCUGACAGACUUAGCGCGGAAUCCGUUGUUUCUUUUUAAAAUAAAUAGGAGGAGGGCGACGACAGAGACCGCGAUGUUGAUAUGAAUGAUUUGCUGAGGGUCGCACGGUAAAGACAGCGGAGCACAGCCGGUGAAUCCAAGCGGAGCCAGUUAGCGUUAGCUUUAGCAUUUUAGCUACCCUUUAGCUUAGGAGCCGCUAAUUGGUGCCCUCUCCUCAAACACCUGCUCGCCUGUGUUUUAGCUAACGAGCCGGUUAUCCGUCACACAGUUGUGGUCUGUGUUGUUUUUAAAGCACGAGGUGACGCCGACGAAAAGGAGACCGGGGGUUAUACGGUUGGGACCAGCAAGUGGCCGUCGACCAUGGACAACGCACACACAAAGACGGUUGAAGAAGUUUACAGCUUUUUUAACGUCAAUGAGAGCACGGGUCUGAGUUUAGAGCAAGUGAAGAAGCAGCGGGAGCGAUUUGGACCAAACGAACUGCCGGCUGAGGAGGGUAAAUCUCUUUGGGAACUGGUGUUUGAACAAUUUGAAGACUUGCUUGUGAGGAUCCUUUUACUUGCUGCCUGCAUAUCCUUUGUGCUGGCCUGGUUUGAAGAAGGAGAGGAGACUGUUACAGCCUUUGUGGAGCCUUUUGUUAUCCUGCUUAUUCUCAUAGCAAAUGCCAUUGUAGGAGUCUGGCAGGAACGAAAUGCAGAAAAUGCCAUCGAAGCACUUAAGGAGUAUGAGCCAGAGAUGGGGAAGGUGUACCGCCAGGACAGGAAGAGUGUCCAGAGAAUCAAGGCUCGGGACAUUAUGCCUGGGGACAUAGUGGAGGUGGCAGUUGGAGAUAAAGUGCCUGCAGACAUCAGGCUUACGUCUAUCAAGUCGACCACACUGAGGGUAGACCAGUCAAUCCUUACAGGAGAGUCUGUGUCUGUGAUCAAACACACUGACCCUGUGCCUGACCCGCGUGCUGUCAACCAGGACAAGAAGAACAUGCUCUUUUCUGGCACCAACAUCGCAGCUGGUAAGGCGGUUGGCGUGGUUAUCGCCACAGGUGUCAACACAGAGAUUGGCAAAAUCCGGGAUGAAAUGGCAUCAACAGAGCAGGAGCGCACGCCACUGCAGCAAAAGCUGGAUGAAUUUGGAGAGCAACUUUCCAAGGUUAUUUCACUGAUCUGCAUCGCUGUGUGGAUCAUCAAUAUUGGGCAUUUCAAUGAUCCGGUCCAUGGAGGCUCUUGGAUUCGCGGCGCCGUCUACUACUUCAAGAUUGCUGUGGCUCUAGCAGUGGCUGCUAUCCCUGAGGGUCUGCCUGCUGUCAUCACUACUUGCCUGGCAUUAGGAACUCGCCGCAUGGCCAAGAAGAAUGCCAUUGUCCGCAGUUUGCCCUCUGUGGAGACCCUUGGCUGUACAUCUGUCAUCUGCUCUGACAAGACGGGCACUCUCACCACCAAUCAGAUGUCUGUGUGCAGGAUGGUUAUCAUUGACCAAGCUGAGGGUGAGCAUUGUUCACUGAAGGAAUUCAAUGUCACUGGCUCAACAUAUGCCCCAGAAGGACAAGUGUUCCAUGAGGGCAAAACUGUCCGAUGUUCCCAGUAUGAUGGCUUGGUGGAGCUGGCCUCUAUCUGUGCUCUCUGUAAUGACUCUUCAUUAGAUUAUAAUGAGACGAAAGGUGUGUAUGAGAAGGUGGGAGAGGCCACGGAGACGGCGCUCACGUGCCUCGUGGAAAAGAUGAACGUAUUUGAUACAGAUGUCAAAGGCCUGUCCAAGAUUGAGCGAGCCAACGCCUGUAACUCGGUGAUAAAGCAACUCAUGAAGAAAGAGUUUACCCUGGAAUUCUCCAGAGACCGGAAGUCCAUGUCUGUGUACUGCACUCCGAACAAAGCCCGCUCUGCUGCUGGCAAGAUGUUUGUAAAGGGCGCUCCUGAAGGCGUGAUCGACAGGUGCACACACGUGCGAGUCGGCAACAACAAGGUGCCGCUGACCCCUGGUAUCAAGGAAAAGCUAAUGUCCGUGAUCAGAGAAUAUGGAACCGGCAGGGACACCCUGCGCUGUCUGGCUCUGGCCACCCGGGACACCCCCAUGAGCAAAAAUGAACUGGCAUUAGAGGACUGCACCCGCUUUGUUGAGUAUGAGACUGAUCUGACGUUCGUCGGCUGUGUGGGCAUGUUGGACCCUCCCAGGGCAGAAGUGGCAGCUUCCAUCAGACUGUGCCGUCUUGCAGGCAUCCGAGUAAUUAUGAUCACUGGAGACAACAAGGGGACGGCGGUGGCCAUCUGCAGACGUAUUGGUAUUUUCGGCGAGGACGAGGACGUGUCCAGCCUGGCUUACACUGGCCGAGAGUUUGACGACCUGUCACCUGUCGCACAAAGAGAAGCUGUGGUCAAGGCCCGCUGCUUUGCUCGUGUCGAGCCUUCACAUAAAUCCAAGAUUGUCGAGUACCUGCAGUCCUACGAUGAGAUUACCGCUAUGACCGGUGAUGGCGUCAAUGACGCUCCUGCACUCAAGAAGUCUGAGAUUGGCAUUGCAAUGGGCUCGGGCACAGCUGUGGCCAAGACCGCCUCUGAGAUGGUGCUGGCCGACGACAACUUUUCCACCAUCGUGGCUGCAGUUGAAGAGGGCAGAGCCAUUUAUAACAACAUGAAACAGUUCAUCAGAUACCUCAUUUCUUCCAAUGUGGGCGAAGUUGUCUGCAUCUUCCUGACUGCAGCUCUCGGCUUCCCUGAAGCUCUCAUUCCCGUUCAGCUGCUCUGGGUCAACCUGGUGACUGACGGUUUGCCCGCCACUGCCCUCGGCUUCAACCCGCCAGACUUGGACAUCAUGAGCAAACCCCCGCGCAACGCCCGCGAGCCCCUCAUCUCUGGGUGGCUCUUCUUCAGAUACCUGGCAAUUGGAUGUUACGUGGGCGCUGGUACUGUUGGUGCUGCUGCCUGGUGGUUUGUUGCAGCUGAGGACGGACCAAGGAUUACCUUUUACCAGCUGAGCCACUUCCUUCAGUGUGGUCCAGAAAAUCCAGACUUCCAGGGUAUUGACUGCAACGUGUUUGAGUCUCCUUACCCCAUGACCAUGGCCCUGUCUGUGCUGGUCACCAUUGAGAUGUGCAAUGCCCUGAACAGUGUGUCGGAGAACCAGUCCCUGCUGCGUAUGCCUCCGUGGGAGAACGUGUGGCUGCUGGGAGCCAUUUGCCUCUCCAUGUCUCUUCACUUCCUUAUCCUCUACGUGGAGCCUCUACCUAUCAUCUUCCAGAUCACCCCGCUGAAUCUGACACAGUGGCUGAUGGUGCUCAAGAUCUCCUUGCCCGUCAUCCUGCUGGACGAGUUCCUCAAGUUUGCCGCCAGGAACUACCUGGAGCCUGGUAAAGAGCUGGAGAAGCCUGCCAGCUCCAAAUGCUCCCUGUCUGCAUGCAUGGAGGGCAUCUCCUGGCCCUUCGUGGCCGUUUCCCUCCCCUUGGUCCUCUGGAUCUACAGCUCCGACACUAACAUGGCCGACAUGUUCUGGUCUUGACUGACUUGAGCACAACUUUGACUUUUUUUUCCCCCACAUAAUCCCCCCUCCCCUCCUUAUCACCACCACAUCACUCUUUUCCUCCCUCCUCCCUCUCUGCCUCCCCUCCCCCCAUGUGCAUAGGUAGUGUGUGUGUGUGUGAGCACGCGUUUGUAGAGUUAAGUGUGUGCUUGUGCGAGCCCCACCACGUGUGUGCGAGAAGGACCAACAUUAACACAUGAGAUGUAACACAUAAUGUAAAAAUGUCAACAUUGAGAAGUAACCUGUUCUGAGUCGGGAUGGGAUCUGUGAGUAGCCGAGGCUUUAAUUGCGAGUGUUAGACGACCGUCACUCCUGCAGCUGUGGACUUGGUUUUGUUGAUUUGAAAGGAAAAAAAAAUACUUUUUUUUGUUAAUGUCAAUAUUGACUUUUUGAGGUUCAUAUUUUAAAUGAUUUAGGGAAUAUCUUUUGUCUUAAUGUCACUACAGUACCAACAGUAGAUAGUUUUUUUUUGCUUCGAUUCCCUUGUCAUGAAAAAGAAAAUUUAAGAUAUGAGAAACGUUCUUGUUCUGUACAGAGAAUGAACACUAUUUUAUGCAAUUUUUUUUAAAAACGGCUUUGUAAAUUGUUUGACCAGCGUGGCUUAGACAUACCGCCUUGAUUUCUUUUCUAAUGUUUACCAUUGUGUCUUCAGUAUAAACUCACAAGUGUUUCAAGAGAGAGAGAGAGGACGAGUUGCACGUGCGUGGCAGACGAGGAUGGGGAAAGGUUUGGGUGCGAACGUCUGAAUGCUCCGCUUAAACAAAAACGAAAAGCAAAACGCCGCAUGCCCCGUGUGACCAAGCAUGGACUGUAUAUGGUUUUCUUAUUUCUAAUUUAAUGUAUUCCCCUCCCCCGUCAUUGUUAGUUUAAAUUAACUUCAUGGAUGUUUUGUUUUUUUAAGAUCAUUUGAAUAUAAGCCAGUUUCUCUGCACUAGGCAGAGCACAGCUACCUCAAUAUGAUAAAAGAUUUUUUUGUUGCUCAUCUCUAGAUGCUUUUCCCGAAUGGUCUUGCUAAUGUGUAACAUCCGAGGUGUGCCCCUAUUCGCUUGUGCAGAAAACAAAAGAACUUAAUAUUCCGUCAGCCUAACACUUUUAAGAAUAUAUAUUGUGUGCAUUGUUUCCUUUUUUUGACGUCAUUAACUUUAUUCACUCUGGUGACAGAACUGAUUGGGAAAUGACUUAUUGUCAAUUUCCGUCUCCAUGUUGAUUCAAAGGACAAUAAUAUUAAAAAGAAUUGAGAGAUCAAUACCAAUACAAGUACAAAUGAACCUGGAAUGCAAAUGAGAAGCCAAAAUGUUUUCUUUUUUUACUUAAAGGAAAAAAAAAAUACAUUCUUGAACCCUUUGAAUCAAAGUGUUUUCUGUCUUUAUUCGAUACGAUCUAGGGCCGGCGUUUGUGGUCAACAUUCAGUGUUUUUGUAUGUACAUAUGAUACUUGAAUACAAACCAUUUCAGACAUAUGAAUGCUCGAGUCUCCUUGGCACAAAAAGACUGGUAGGAAAUAAUCACGACACAGUGAAACCCAUGUUGUGUGUAUUUGACCUAUAGGCUUUCUAUCUUUUUAGAGGUUGUGUUCAGUGCUGGGUAACCAUACUGUGUGGUUGUGUUUAUGUGUGUUGGAGCUGAGCCCGUUUCAGACAACUGCACUAAUCCCAAGAAUCAUCAUUAUUAUUAUAAUAAUUUUUUUUGUAUGGAGUUUUCUAAGUGUGUGGCAAACCCCCGUGCGUGUCUCGUCUAUAGCAUGUUUGUGUGGGAUGAGAAGCCUGGGUGUGUUUGCACUGUGUUCCGCGUUAACAACUGUGUGCUUUCUUCCACAAUGCCUCCCAUUGGCUCCCUGUCACUAGAGUUGGCUUUCAUAAAAAAAAUAAAACCUUUCACAAUAUCUAAAGAGUGAACUGGAAGGCCGGAGUCCUCCCGCCUCUCGGUGCACACAGUAUGUAUUCACUGCAUCUCCACGCACCUCCGACGCCAUGACGACCAGCAGCGGUGUGUGCGCGUGUGUGUGUUGUUGCACCAACAAUUAUACAGGACAUGUUUUCACAGUCGUGAGACCAAACACAUGAGGGUAGAAGUUGUCGAGCUGGAAACUGUCCCCCGUUCACUAAACACAAAAACACUUAUUAUACACUUAUACCUCCGUGUGCAGAUAGCUAUAUCAAUAUCACACUGUUCCAGUUCCAGUUCCAGAUUUGUGUGCAGGGAAGUUCCCAAACACCCUCAACAUCCCUUCUUGCAUGUAAAAAACAAAUUGUUUCCAGCGUUCAUGGUAGUGUAGAGACUCUUUAAAAAACAACAAAAAAAAACAAAACAAAGAAAACACUGGGUUUAACAGUCUUAGCUGUACAUCCGCAUAUAAAUCUCAUGCAUGCAACUCCGUCGCUGUAUGUAGGCUUUGCAAUUUGUAAUGUAUAGAUUCUAAUGUAUAAUAACUCGUACGACUUACAGACGGUUUUAUGAUGGUUAUAUCGUAGACAUGAGGGAAAUCACUGUUUUUAAAUGUAACGUUUGGGUAAUUUGCACAAUAUUAGACCGUGAGCAACGACUCACGCUGAACUUGACUGUGCUCUACUUUCCUUCUCUUAUCUGAUUCUCCUCUUCCCUACCCCAACUUUAAGUAUCGUAGGUCCGUCACCAAGCCAUUUCCAUUUUUGAAUAAUUCCUUUGCAAUGAGGUCGACAGACUUUGACACUUGGGCGUCAUUUGUAAUUCUUGCAAUACAACAGUGUUUCUGUUUUGUUUUUUUUUUCUUACUGCCUCUGCUGUUGUCAUUCUGAUAAUUAUUGCUGUUAUUCCUUCCGUCAUCAUUCAGUAUAUCUUUAAUAACUGCUGUAAAACUGUGAUCUAAUGUGAGGGCGGGGGGGGAGGCCUGUGUCGCACACCCCCACCUCAGCAACUCUUGAUCGAAGAACAAUAUUAACCAUAUGUUUAAGAAAAAAAAAAGACCAUUCGAUCAUUAUUGAAGAUUAGUAAUGAUUGUACAUGCAUUACUGCGGUUGUGGUUUCAGGUAAAUAAAGUAAUAUACUAUUUGAA